ACGGCUCAGUAACACGUCGGUAACCUACCCUCGGGAGGGGGAUAACCCCGGGAAACUGGGGCUAAUUCCCCAUAGGCCUGAGGUACUGGAAGGUCCUCAGGCCGAAAGGGACUUAUGUCCGCCCGAGGAUGGGCCGGCGGCCGAUUAGGUAGUUGGUGGGGUAAUGGCCCACCAAGCCGAAGAUCGGUACGGGCUGUGAGAGCAGGAGCCCGGAGAUGGACACUGAGACACGGGUCCAGGCCCUACGGGGCGCAGCAGGCGCGAAACCUCCGCAAUGCGGGAAACCGCGACGGGGGGACCCCGAGUGCCGUGGCAACGCCACGGCUUUUCCGGAGUGUAAAAAGCUCCGGGAAUAAGGGCUGGGCAAGGCCGGUGGCAGCCGCCGCGGUAAUACCGGCGGCCCGAGUGGUGGCCGCUAUUAUUGGGCCUAAAGCGUCCGUAGCCGGGCCCGUAAGUCCCUGGCGAAAUCCCACGGCUCAACCGUGGGGCUUGCUGGGGAUACUGCGGGUCUUGGGACCGGGAGAGGCGGGGGGUACCCCUGGGGUAGGAGUGAAAUCCUACAAUCCCAGGGGGACCGCCAGUGGCGAAGGCGCCCCGCUGGAACGGGUCCGGCGGUGAGGGACGAAGGCCAGGGGAGCAAACCGGAUUAGAUACCCGGGUAGUCCUGGCUGUAAAGGAUGCGGGCUAGGUGUCGGGUGAGCCUCGAGCUCGCCCGGUGCCGUAGGGAAGCCGUUAAGCCCGCCGCCUGGGGAGUACGGCCGCAAGGCUGAAACUUAAAGGAAUUGGCGGGGGAG
rnacentral:rRNA from 1 species